AUUGAACGCUGGCGGCAUGCUUUACACAUGCAAGUCGAACGGUAACAGGCCGCAAGGUGCUGACGAGUGGCGAACGGGUGAGUAAUGCAUCGGAACGUGCCCAGUCGUGGGGGAUAACGCAGCGAAAGCUGCGCUAAUACCGCAUACGAUCUAUGGAUGAAAGCGGGGGACCGUAAGGCCUCGCGCGAUUGGAGCGGCCGAUGUCAGAUUAGGUAGUUGGUGGGGUAAAGGCUCACCAAGCCAACGAUCUGUAGCUGGUCUGAGAGGACGACCAGCCACACUGGGACUGAGACACGGCCCAGACGCCUACGGGAGGAAGCAGUGGGGAAUUUUGGACAAUGGGCGCAAGCCUGAUCCAGCAAUGCCGCGUGCAGGAAGAAGGCCUUCGGGUUGUAAACUGCUUUUGUACGGAACGAAACGGCUCUGGUUAAUACCUGGGGCUAAUGACGGUACCGUAAGAAUAAGCACCGGCUAACUACGUGCCAGCCGCCGCAGUAACAC
rnacentral:rRNA from 1 species